rnacentral:rRNA from 1 species
UACGGAGGGUGCAAGCGUUUAUCCGGAUUCACUGGGUUUAAAGGGUGCGUAGGUGGUCUGUUAAGUCAGCGGUGAAAGCCUGGAGCUCAACUCCAGAAUUGCCAUUGAUACUGACGGACUUGAAUCAAGUUGAGGUGGAUGGAAUAUUACAUGUAGCGGUGAAAUGCUUAGAUAUGUAAUAGAACACCAAUUGCGAAGGCAGUUCACUAAGCUUGCAUUGACACUGAGGCACGAAAGCGUGGGGAUCAAACAGG